rnacentral:sRNA from 1 species
ACCUAAACCUGAUUGGAGUGGACAUGAACCCGACCGCAGGUGGGUGAAUAAAACGGAAAGCAGGACUGCAG